CGGGUCACGCGGCUCGGCGUGGUGGAUCCCCUUGUCGCUCCGUUGCUGGGCAACGGCCGGGCGCCUGGGCAAGGAAGGUGUUCCGCGCGUGCGCGGUGCGGGACGUGCGUCCCGAGUGUCUGGGGGCGAUGCGGGGAUGGAGCGGGAGCGGCUAGUGGCCGGUGUCCGGCGAGCACGAUGUGGCGCUGCCUGCAUUCUUGUGAACUGUUCCCGCCUCCCGCUCAGGGCUUCCUGGUGUGGGUCAGGCCGCACCGUGCAGGGACCCGCCCGGCGCCUGCCUGCCUGGGCGCCCCUGGGCCUCUCGCGGCGGCCACGCAACCCCGCAGUCCGCAGCGCCGGGCACGGGUUCCGAGCUGGGAACCGCUGGGCGUGGGGCGGCUGACGCCUGGGUUUUCCUCACGGCCGCGGCGGGCUGUGCCGUCGGGUUCAGGCCUACUGCAGGGCUUUCGGUUUGCGAACGCGGGGCCCGGGGUCCGCGGGUGCGGUCCUCUCUCGGGCUUCGCCUCAGUGCUGCGGGGCCGGCCGAGGCCUGGCCGGGUUCCCUGGCCGCGGCUGCUCCCGCUGGCCCUGAUGUAUUAUUCAGCGCGGCCGCCAGGCGCCAGCCGCCGAGCUGUGUCCCAGUUUUCUCUUCCUCGCGUUUUAACGAUGGUCUGCGCCGUUGGCGUUCGCCCAGGGUAUUAGUCCGCAAACCGCUGCAAGCUCUUCUCCUGAGGUGAUGAUCAAGCGACUCCCGGUUUCCUCCAAGAAUCCCGUCACUAGUUGAACGCCCCGCGUCUGACCUGUGGCUUGAGGCCGCCUCAGCCUCCGGCCUCCGGCACUGCAGAUGUUAACAACCCCAUUGGUGGGUUUCCCAAGACAGGGAAACCUCGGCGAGUAACUGUCAGCGGCAGAGACCCCACACCCACACCCAAGCGCUCGUCCUGGAUUCGCGGGUGGGACACGCCCUCGCUCGGAGAGGGCCUCUGACCCCCCUGCCAGGCUCUCGGUCCGUGUUUCACUGAAGCCGUGGCUCAGAGGCUAAGGGAGCUGUCUACAGGUGAACAGGCAGGAAGAGAUGCAGCCAGAUCUCUGCUUUGCCUACACCGUAGUGGCAGCGAGGCUAAACUUUGAAAUACCACCCGUGUGUAUCCAUGUAAAAUGUACAAACGGGUGAGUCCAGAAAGCCAAGUCCUGACUCAUUCGGAUGACAUAGCUUCAGUCAGUUCCUUCCCGUCAACCCUGGUCUGCAUGGAAUCUCUAGUCUGGGGGAGGCCCAGUGCGCCUAAGAAAUGACCUUGCCUGGGACAAGGUCUCCACGCUCCUGUGCCACUGCGGAGGUCACUGCCCGAGCCGGCAGCACUGCAGACGCUGUGUGCCAGGAGAGCAUCGUCUCCCUGCAGUGCUAUCGCCUCGCCCGUCGCAGGUUCAGUUCUCUCCAGACCAGCUCUGUGCUAAGCUUUCCAGGAGUUGAGAAAGUUACCGAAACAACACUCCCCGCGCCCUUCAUUAACGUUCAUCACUUCUUGUAUCCAAGGACUGGGCCAGUCUUUCCUUCGGUCUGAUUCUCAGCUAAUUCCAAAGUGCCCAGCAUCUCUGCAGCGUUCCACGGUGCAUGCGCCGCUUCACAUGCCAGCCCUCAGCAAACGCCUGCUAAAUGAAUCAGGCGCCCAUGGCUGCUGCGUCACAGGGAAAAUGUGCUUUCGUUGGAUGCAGCAUCUGCUUUUCCACCUGCAAUGUGUGUGUCCUGCAAUCCCACAGCUUCACAAAGUAUGAUGCAAACUUUUGGGUGCUUGCCAAUCACACAGGUGAUAUCACCCCCAUUCUUGGAGGUCAGCGACUUAUCCAAGACCAAGCAGCCUGGAAGAGCAGAGCCCAGACUCAUAUGUGGGCCACAUGGUGCAGCUUGUGUCCCAAGCGAAUAAAAAAUGAGGAACGUCAAGCUCUUAACUUGUA